CCCUUAGAUGUUCUGGGCCGCACGCGCGCUACACUGAUGCAUUCAACAAGCCUAGCCUUGACCGAGAGGUCCGGGUAAUCUUUGAAACUGCAUCGUGAUGGGGCUAGAUUAUUGCAAUUAUUAAUCUUCAACGAGGAAUGCCUAGUAAACGCAAGUCAUCAGCUUGCAUUGAUUACGUCCCUGCCCUUUGUACACACCGCCCGUCGCUCCUACCGAUUGAAUGAUCCGAUGAAUAUCAUGGAUUGAGGAUGCAAGUAGGUUCGCCUAUCUUCAUCUUCGAGAAGUGAAGUAAAUCUUAUCAUUUAGAGGAAGGAGAAGUCGUAACA
rnacentral:rRNA from 1 species